rnacentral:tRNA from 1 species
GCCAGCGUAGCUCAGUCGGUAGAGCAGCUGAUUCGUAAUCAGCAGGCCCGGGGUUCAAGUCCCCUCGCUGGCUCCA